AUGUGGAGAACGAUGGAUAUCUUGGGCUCGAUGACGUGCCCCGGCACGACGUCCACCUCGAAGUUCCUCACCACGGCGGCCGCCACGGCCUUGAGCUGCACGAACGCCAUGUCCUUGCCGAGGCAGGUCCGCGGCCCGGAGUUGAAGGAGAUGAACUUGUACGACGGCACGUACCGCAGCUUGCCGUCCUCCCCGAUCCACCGCUCCGGCCGGAACUCCCGGCAGUCCUUGCCCCACACGGCCUCCAUCAUCCCCAUCGCGUACAGCGACACAAAGAUCUUGUCCCCUGGCCGCACCUCGUGCCCGCUCGGCAGCGCCUCGGCGGCGACCACGCCCUUGUGCUCAAACGGCACCGGCGGGUACAACCGGAGCGACUCGCACAGGGCCGCGUGCAGGUACACCAGCCGGCCGAGCUCGUCCGGGUCGAAGGUCACCAUGCCGUCCAGGGUGGUGGUGGUGGUCUUGGUGUCGAGCUCUGCGAGGAUCUUGGACACCACGCCCGGGUUCCUGGUGAGGAGGUAG
rnacentral:rRNA from 1 species